CAGCAGCCGCGGGAAUACGUAGGUGGCAAGCGUUGUCCGGAUUUAUUGGGCGUAAAGCGAGCGCAGGCGGUUCCUUAAGUCUGAUGUGAAAGCCCCCGGCUCAACCGGGGAGGGUCAUUGGAAACUGGGGAACUUGAGUGCAGAAGAGGAGAGUGGAAUUCCAUGUGUAGCGGUGAAAUGCGUAGAUAUAUGGAGGAACACCAGUGGCGAAGGCGACUCUCUGGUCUGUAACUGACGCUGAGGCUCGAAAGCGUGGGUAGCAAACAGGAUUAGAUACCCCAGUAGUCCCUGUCUCUUAUAC
rnacentral:rRNA from 1 species